AAUCCGUGGUGCAGACACUUUUGAAUCAACGUUUUGAAGUGCUCUCAUGCCUCAUGGAAACUUUCCCCUUCCAUUUGUCUAAAGACAACAAUUUUUAUUCUUAGUUG
rfam:Gossypium raimondii Chr04_contig_689, whole genome shotgun sequence.